rnacentral:rRNA from 1 species
UACGUAGGGGGCAAGCGUUGUCCGGAUUUAUUGGGCGUAAAGAGCGUGUAGGCGGCCACACAGGUCAGCUGUGAAAACUCGAGGCUCAACCUCGAGACGUCGGUUGAAACCGUAUGGCUAGAGUCCGGAAGAGGAGACUGGAAUUCCUGGUGUAGCAGUGAAAUGCGUAGAUAUCAGGAGGAAUACCGAUGGCGAAGGCAGGUCUCUGGGCUGACACUGACGCUCAUGCACGAAAGCGUGGGGAGCAAACAGG